UGGGUUUGACAUAUUCAGGACCGGUGUGGAAACACACCUUCCCUUCGGGGCCUGUUUACAGAUGCUGCAUGGCUGUCGUCAGCUCGUGCCGUGAGGUGUUCGGUUAAGUCCGGCAACGGGCGCAACCCGUGUCGUCAGUUGCCAGCAGGUAACGCUGGGGACUCUGGCGAGACUGCCCGUGUCAAGCGGGAGGAAGGCGCGGAUGACGUCAAGUCCGUAUGGCUCUUACAUCCAGGGCUGCACACGUGCUACAAUGGACGGUACAAUGAGAUGCGAAGUCGCGAGGCGGAGCAAAUCUCCAAAGCCGUCCCCAGUUCGGAUCGGAGUCUGCAAUUUGACUCCGUGAAGU
rnacentral:rRNA from 1 species